GGAUCAGAUUGUCGGUCGUGCCUCGGUACGUACUGGCAUUAUUGGUUCCUACCUUCUGAAGAACCGCGAUGCCAUUAAUUUGGUGUCGUGGGGAAUCAGGACAGUUACUUUGAAAAAAUUAGAGUGUUUAAAGCAGGCUUACGCUUGAAUACAUUAGCAUGGAAUAAUGAAAUAGGACGAUUGAUCCUAUUUUUGUUGGUUUCUAGGAUUGACGUA
rnacentral:rRNA from 1 species